GGAGAUUGUAAGAGCAAGAGCUCGAAUGGUAACACAGGGGCGUAAUGUUUAGACAGGUUCGAAACUCUGGAGAAUAAUACCCUACGUUCUGUGUUCUAAUAGAUUGUAUUGCUGGGAUGGGAUGCGAAGAGUCGAUGUACCCUCGGGGGGCGUCUCUGGCCGCCUUAUAUAGGCUGACAACCUAGAGUUACAAUCGGAUAGAACCUAGUCGCUUGUUACAUGAAAAGCAAUCUGAGUCGGACUACAACAAGUAUCCUGCAAUAUCCGGACAGAAUCUGUUCGCCCGGCCUCUGAGCUUGUGCUCCACAUAUC
rnacentral:lncRNA from 1 species